rnacentral:rRNA from 1 species
GGCGCCCGAACUCUCUCUGUAUGUCGUUAUCGUCCCUGAAGACGAGCUUUACAUCCGAAGACCGUCAUCACUCACGCGGCGUUGCUGCAUCAGGGUUUCCCCCAUUGUGCAAUAUUCCCCACUGCUGCCUCCCGUAGGA